GACGAACGCUGGCGGCGUGCUUAACACAUGCAAGUCGAACGGAAAGGCCCUGCUUUUGUGGGGUGCUCGAGUGGCGAACGGGUGAGUAACACGUGAGUAACCUGCCCUUGACUUUGGGAUAACUUCAGGAAACUGGGGCUAAUACCGGAUAGGAGCUCCUGCUGCAUGGUGGGGGUUGGAAAGUUUCGGCGGUUGGGGAUGGAUUCGGGGGUUAACAGCUUGUUGGUUGGGUAGUGGCUUACCAAGGCUUUGACGGGUAGCCGGCAUGAGUGGGUGGACGGGCACAAUGGGACUACGAGACGGCCCAGAGGCGUACAGGAGACAGCAGGGGGGAGUAUGGUACAGUGGGCGGAAGCGUGAGACAGAGGCGCCGGGAGCGGGAAGAAGGCUUUGGGGGGGGAAACCGCAGUAACCUAAGACGAAGCGGGAGUGACGUUAAUGGGAAAAGAAGCACCGGCUAACUACGUG
rnacentral:rRNA from 1 species